rnacentral:rRNA from 1 species
UACGGAGGGAGCUAGCGUUAUUCGGAAUUACUGGGCGUAAAGCGCACGUAGGCGGCUUGGUAAGUUAGAGGUGAAAGCCUGGAGCUCAACUCCAGAAUUGCCUUUAAGACUGCCGAGCUAGCAGGUGAGAGAGGUGAGUGGAAUUCCGAGUGUAGAGGUGAAAUUCGUAGAUAUUCGGAAGAACACCAGUGGCGAAGGCGGCUCACUGGCUCAUACUGGACGCUGAGGUGCGAAAGCGUGGGGAGCAAACAGG